rnacentral:rRNA from 1 species
UGGGGAAUAUUGCACAAUGGGCGCAAGCCUGAUGCAGCCAUGCCGCGUGUAUGAAGAAGGCCUUCGGGUUGUAAAGUACUUUCAGCGGGGAGGAAGGGAGUAAAGUUAAUACCUUUGCUCAUUGACGUUACCCGCAGAAGAAGCACCGGCUAACUCCGUGCCAGCAGCCGCGGUAAUACGGAGGGUGCAAGCGUUAAUCGGAAUUACUGGGCGUAAAGCGCACGCAGGCGGUUUGUUAAGUCAGAUGUGAAAUCCCCGGGCUCAACCUGGGAACUGCAUCGGAUACUGGCAAGCUUGAGUCUCGUAGAGGGGGGUAGAAGUCCAGGUGUAGCGGUGAAAUGCGUAGAGAUCUGGAGGAAUACCGGUGGCGAAGGCGGCCCCCUGGACGAAGACUGACGCUCAGGUGCGAAAGCGUGGGGAGCAAACAGG